CAAGCUCUAUUCUUCGGUGUCUUCAACACGAAAAAUCGAAUUUAUCACAGUAAAAUAACAAAACCAAUUUGUUGGCUCGUUAAUAGAUAAUUUCGGUUUGAAAUUAUAAUUCAUCGGGACAGCUGCAGAAUCGAAACCGAUUACAAUUUCGCUGAGCUCAAGCGAAUCAAGCGCGAUGACAUAAGUCCUUUUUUUAUGACUUAUGUAUUAACAACGCCAGGAAUUAAAUUGACUGUAAAGUAUAUUAGUAUCGAUCUUUUCGUUAAUAUCUUCGUUUUCAAUACGGCGUAGUAUUUCUGUUGACUCAACUCAAUAUAAAUAUUCCAGAUAGCACAGAGAGGUAAAAAUUCAGUCAUAUGUCAUCAAUUCUGAGUUCAUUCUCAGAUGCGAGAAAAAGUUCUUUUCAUAUCUCAGAAAGUGAACUCAGAAUUGAUGACAUACGACUGAACAUACGAAUUAAUGAAUUUCUCUUUCAACUCUGUGUGCUAUCUGGGAUGAUAAUAGCGUAGGUAAGAGCUUUAAGAAUUUUAUCCUGUAUACUUUUAUUUUGACCUUUUUUUUAUCGUAACGCAUUUCAUUAUCGAUAAACGACAGGCACGCUCAUAUAGCGAGCCGAAAUAGGUAACGUCUUACACGACGUUUAAACACUUUUUAAACAGGACUCAAGAAAAAGACGAAUUUCGAAAGUUAAGAUCUUUAAUUCCCUUUCUUCCUGCAUCGAUUUGAUCACCGCCGCGAAUUUAUUGCUAUUUACAAGCGACACUGGCCACUCGCCGUUCGAAAUAAAUCCGCGGUCUUAUUAUAUCAUCUCUCGUUGAUGAUGAAAGAUGUUGAAAUUUCUGAUGAUUCGGACAAGACGAUGAAAAAUGAAGCGACAAAAUGAUGCAAUAGUUUUAGAAAGUAUCUGAAGAUCGAAAUGGAACAUAUUGAAGAAAGUAUAGACAAAAUGAAAAGGACGAUAUUGUACUUCGUAGAAAAGGAUAAUGUACUUCACAGGUAUACAAAAAUACUGCAUACUUGGCGUCACGAUACUGUCGCUCGAUAUAGAUAUGUAUUUUUUAUUUAAAUUUAAUAAAAUUCUAAACUUUGUUAAAAUUAAAAUUUUUUUUUUUUAAUAUGCAGCCAUUUUUUUUUAAUUUUGUGCACAUAAUUUCAAAAGAACUGGUCAACUAAUCUUUACAAAAUCCGCAAAAAAAAACCGUUUCGGAAUUCUUUUUUAAAUGUUUAAUACUUAGAAAUAUUUUAGGGAGUCUCGAUACGUGUGUGAAAAGUUUAUAUUCAUUCAGAUAUCGUUAAAAGCUACUUCAAACUUCAAUCUUUUUGUCUCGGCUUACGUACGAAAAGAGUGAAAAACAGGUGAACCGUUUAAUCGAGACUCUUUGUUCAGAAUCACAAACGAUUAAAAUAAUAACCGAUGCCAAGACCGAUUCUUCGGUCGCCGGUUCUUCCUCUUUCGCUCGCCUGGAUUUUCGUAUACAAUCUCGAAAAAAAGAAGUACGAGAUCCCCUCCCGCUGUUUCAGAUACAUAGUAUAAUGUUCCGAGGGGAGAGACGUGAAGGGCAUUGUACUUCAGCUUCUUUAGCGAUGCCCAGGCCAGGUCGACUCGACCGACCGUUAUUGCGGUGUCGUUAUUGACGCUGCAUCUGGCUUGGUGUCUGGCUUAGCAACACACCUUGACGGCGGGAAAGCACGUUGUCGAGGAUCGUCAUACAGUGCUCAGGCUUCCUGAAAUAUUUAAUCCGUUUCCGGUCUUUUGCAGAUUUUUCAAAUGCUGAAAAUUUCUCACUUUCAGCAGACAAAAGCGCUAUAAGCAUUCUCGACUUCGACAUUCAGACAAAUAACAAUGACAGUUUUUCUCGUUAUAUAAUAUAUUAUAGUCACUCUCUCCUAUAGUCUUACGCAUCACAUUGACACGGAAAGAAAGUCAGAGUAGAAAAGAAAACAAAUAUUUCUCCUCGCUCUCUUCACGUGCACUGUAUUUCUUUUUUCUUUUUCAAUACAGAGAGAAUUAAAGUAAAGAACAUAAUGUCCUUUCUUCAUCCCCUCUGUUUAUUUUCUGUAUUUCUUAAAAAUAUGCUCAAAUACAUCGAUAUAACAUAUCACAGAUAAAUAUGUGAAAUAAAUAUUGGUUAAAUAAA